GACGAACGCUGGCGGCGUGCUUAACACAUGCAAGUCGAACGGAAAGGCCCUGCUUUUGUGGGGUGCUCGAGUGGCGAACGGGUGAGUAACACGUGAGUAACCUGCCCUUGACUUUGGGAUAACUUCUGGAAACUGGGGCUAAUACCGGAUAGGAGCUCCUGCUGCACAGUGGGGGGUGGAAAGUUUCGGCGGUUGGGGAUGGACUCGCGGCUGAUCAGCUUGUGGGUGUGGUAGUGGCUUACCACGUCUUUGACGGGUAGCCGGCCUGAGAGGGUGACCGGCCACAUUGGGCCUGCGAUACGGCCCAGACUCCUACGGUAGGCAGCGGUGGGGAGUAUUGCGCAGUGAGCGGAAGCCUGAUACAGCAACGCCGCGUGCGGGAUGACGGCCUUCGGGUUGUAAACCGCUUUCGCCUGUGACGAAGCGUGAGUGACGGUAAUGGGUAAAGAAGCACCGGCUAACUACGUG
rnacentral:rRNA from 1 species